rnacentral:rRNA from 1 species
GGCGAUCAGAUACCGCCCUAGUUCUGACCGUAAACGAUGCCAACUAGCGAUCCGCCAGUCGACUCAUCGCUCUGGUGGGGAGCUUCCCGGAAACGAAAGUCUUCCGGUUCCGGGGGAAGUAUGGUUGCAAAGCUGAAACUUAAAGGAAUUGACGGAAGGGCACCACCAGGAGUGGAGCCUGCGGCUUAAUUUGACUCAACACGGGGAAACUCACCCGGCCCGGACACCGUAAGGAUUGACAGAUUGAUAGCUUUUUCAUGAUUCGGUGGAUGGUGGUGCAUGGCCGUUCUUAGUUCGUGGAGCGAUUUGUCUGGUUUAUUCCGAUAACGAGCGAGACUCUGGCCUACUAAAUAGUUGGCACAUUGCCACUGUGUGCACAACUUCUUAGAGGGAUUUUCGGUGUUCAGCCGCACGAAAUUGAGCAAUAACAGGUCUGUGAUGCCCUUAGAUGUCCGGGGCUGCACGCGCGCUACACUGGCAAAAUCAGCGUGCUUGUCCUCCUCCGAAAGGGGUUGGUAAACCGAUGAAAAUUUGCCGUGAUUGGGAUCGGACAUUGCAAUUAUUGUCCGUGAACGAGGAAUCCCUUGUAAGGGCGAGUCAUCAACUCGUCCUGAAUACGUCCCUGCCCUUGUA